UACGAAGGGGGCUAGCGUUGCUCGGAAUUACUGGGCGUAAAGCGCACGUAGGCGGAUUGUUACGUCGGGGGUGAAAUCCUGGAGCUCAACUCCAGAACUGCCUUCGAUACUGGCGAUCUCGAGUCCGGGAGAGGUGAGUGGAACUGCGAGUGUAGAGGUGAAAUUCGUAGAUAUUCGCAAGAACACCAGUGGCGAAGGCGGCUCACUGGCCCGGUACUGACGCUGAGGUGCGAAAGCGUGGGGAGCAAACAGG
rnacentral:rRNA from 1 species